GACGAACGCUGGCGGCGUGCCUAAUACAUGCAAGUCGAACGGACAGGCCCUGCUCUUGCGGCGUUCUCGAGUGGCGAACGGGUGUGUGACACGCGUGUAACCCGCCCUUGACUUUCUGAUAACUCUUGGAAACUGGGGCUAAUAUCCCGUAGAACCUCCUGCACCAUGGUGGGCGUUGGAAAGUUUCGGCGGUUGUGGCUCGUCUCGAUGCUUACCAGCUUGUUGGUGUGGUAGUGGCUUACCAAGGCUGUGAAGGGUAGGCGGCCUGAGAGGUUGGCCGGCCACAAGAGUACUAAGGUACGGCCCAGAAGCGUACGGUAGGCAGCAGUGGGGAACAUUGCGGAAUGGGCGGAAGCCUGAUGCAGCAACGCCGGGUGCGGAAAGCCGGCCUACGAGUUGUAAACCACUUUGGACUGUGACGAGGCGUGAGUGACGGUAAUGAGUAAAAAAGCACCGGCUAACUACGUG
rnacentral:rRNA from 1 species